AAGCUCAAGCAACAGCGAUUGCUGAAGUAACGGCGAGUGAACGAGCACCUUCUUGGCUCAACCCGAAGGAGAUUCCCCUCCUGCCCCUGGGUGAUUGGCAGGGUGCGGUCCGCUACUGUUGGUUUCACCAGAUGCUGUGGGCUUUGGAGCAGACAGUGGUGCAUGCAGGCUGGUUGUGGUUCCAGGAAGUGCCCUGGAAUGGCUCACAUCAGAGGGAUACUGUCCCAAACUCUGCCUUUUGUGCCACGACCGCCUGUGGUGCUGCUUCCUGUGUCCUCGAGUAGAGCGGCUUGGGACGGACUGUAGUUUGAACUGUGGGGUGUAUCCACCACAAGGAGCAAUAUCAACAUGGGACCGAUAGAGCACAAGUAGAGUGAUUGAAGGAUGCAAAGGACUUUGCAAAGAGGGUUAAAAGUCCGUGAAGCCUUGGCAGUGACGGCGGUGUGUGGUGCUGUGGUUCUCCUGUGUGCUGGCACAGCACGGUUCUCCUUUGCGCUGUGGCUGUGCAGCACAGCAAGUUGCAUUCUGCCUGAGAGAUAUUCCUAAGCGACCUUGGGCCAGCCAAGUGCUGGCCACUGAGCCUGUCCCUCAAAAAGAUGGUUGCAAUUGUGGGAGUCACUUGGUGGCAAAUUGCCUGCCUGGGCCUGAGGUGUUCACAGUGAGAGGUUGUGUCUCUCCCACACAGGGCUUCCGCCAAGUGUUGCCUCUCUCGGGGUGCUGUGUGGGCAGAGAGAUGGAGAUGCAACGAGAGAGUGUCCUCUGGACCUGGUGCGCCUUCGGGCUGUGCCAGUCGCUGCUGCCCAGUCAUGGUUCACGGGGCUGGCAGGUGUGUGGUGGCUGCACCACUCGUUGGUGGCCACUGUGCGCCAGCACAGCCCCCCAGAUGGUGCACAGUGCAGAGAGGCAAGCACAGCUUGGUGCAGCAGUGCCACCCUCUGCCCGUCUUGAAACACGGACCAAGGAGUCUAUGGAGCUUGCAGGUUUGCUGGUGUGAUCAUGGAAAACCGCAGUGCAUGGUGAAGGCAACACGGACCAAGAAUGUGUGGGCUUCCAGCCAGGCACGAGCGCCGGCUCUGGACCAAAAGCCUGCAAACCACACCCAGAUGGUGCACAAAAUGCGAGUGCUGCAUGAGUCACCGGCUCCGCCGUCCAUUGGACAGGGUUUUGAGUGCUUGCAAGGUCCAUGGGACCCGAAAGGUGGUGAACUAUACCGUUCCAUGACGAAGCCAUGGGAAACCGUGGUGGAGGUCAGUCGCUGUUCUGACGUGCAAAUUGUGUAGCCUGAGUGCGGCAUAGGGGUGAAAGGCCAAUCGAGCCACCUAGUAGCUGGUUUCCCU
rnacentral:rRNA from 1 species